GACGAACGCUGGCGGCGUGCCUAAUACAUGCAAGUAGAACGCUGAAGAGAGGAGCUUGCUCUUCUUGGAUGAGUUGCGAACGGGUGAGUAACGCGUAGGUAACCUGCCUUGUAGCGGGGGAUAACUAUUGGAAACGAUAGCUAAUACCGCAUAACAAUGGAUGACCCAUGUCAUUUAUUUGAAAGGGGCAAAUGCUCCACUACAAGAUGGACCUGCGUUGUAUUAGCUAGUAGGUGAGGUAACGGCUCACCUAGGCGACGAUACAUAGCCGACCUGAGAGGGUGAUCGGCCACACUGGGACUGAGACACGGCCCAGACUCCUACGGGAGGCAGCAGUAGGGAAUCUUCGGCAAUGGGGGCAACCCUGACCGAGCAACGCCGCGGGAGUGAAGAAGGUUUUCGGAUCGUAAAGCUCUGUUGUAAGUCAAGAACGAGUGUGAGAGUGGAAAGUUCACACUGUGACGGUAGCUUACCAGAAAGAGACGGCUAACUACGUG
rnacentral:rRNA from 1 species